AAAUUGAAGAGUUUGAUCAUGGCUCAGAUUGAACGCUGGCGGCAGGCCUAACACAUGCAAGUCGAACGGUAACAGGAAGCAGCUUGCUGCUUUGCUGACGAGUGGCGGACGGGUGAGUAAUGUCUGGGAAACUGCCUGAUGGAGGGGGAUAACUACUGGAAACGGUGGCUAAUACCGCAUAACGUCGCAAGACCAAAGAGGGGGACCUUCGGGCCUCUUGCCAUCAGAUGUGCCCAGAUGGGAUUAGCUUGUUGGUGAGGUAACGGCUCACCAAGGCGACGAUCCCUAGCUGGUCUGAGAGGAUGACCAGCCACACUGGAACUGAGACACGGUCCAGACUCCUACGGGAGGCAGCAGUGGGGAAUAUUGCACAAUGGGCGCAAGCCUGAUGCAGCCAUGCCGCGUGUAUGAAGAAGGCCUUCGGGUUGUAAAGUACUUUCAGCGGGGAGGAAGGUGUUGCGGUUAAUAACCGCAGCAAUUGACGUUACCCGCAGAAGAAGCACCGGCUAACUCCGUGCCAGCAGCCGCGGUAAUACGGAGGGUGCAAGCGUUAAUCGGAAUUACUGGGCGUAAAGCGCACGCAGGCGGUCU
rnacentral:rRNA from 1 species